UGUUUCCAGACACUCUGUGCAAAGAACAGAGGCAAGCCUCCAGCCAGGAGCUCAUGAAAUCAUGAACUGAGGCCUCAGUGCAAUAGCUCAUGAGGAAAUGAAUUAUUUCAACAGCCAGGGUUGCUCUGAAGACUAAAGCCCUGGGAUCAUUCAUUUUAAAAGAAAAGAACGGUGACUCAUCAUUUCAAGCUUUUCAUUCUGGAAGUUGGAAGUACAAGAUCAGAUUGCCAGCAUCAUCAGAUUUGAUAUCAAAGUAAUGUCAAGUGCUUCUGACCCACUGCAUUAAACGUGUGCUGAGCAGUUGGUGGUAGAAGACAUUAUUGUGAAGGCUGCUCACCACCAAUUUCAUCACUGUUGCUAACUCCAGCUCAUCUAAUCUCUGCAACAUCUGCUACCAGCACCUUCUCUUGCCUCCUUUUGUGAACAUAGUUUUUUCUUCUGGUUAGAAAAUCAGUUCGAACUUCUUGAGUUUUGUGUUUUAAACUCUUCUCAACUGUUCCGAUGAUUGAUGGAUGGCCCAGAGGCGACCUCUUUAUCUCCAGCAACAUAUUUGGCUGUUGGCCCGGUAGAGAGGUACUCCAGAAGCUUGCUGGUUCAUCAUGCUCUCAUCUUUAACCACAACUAUUUAUCUGACUCCUUCCAUCUCCACAGCACUGUGUGAGGGAUCAGUGAUAAGAGACGGUGAAAGACAUGCGCAAAUGGAUAAAUAAUAAGCAGGAUAUGUAGAAUGACACAACAAUUGAUGAGUAAUUUAGGAGAUCCAAUAACUAAAAAAAAAAAGACUGGGGACAAGUUCAUGGAAAGAGUAAUCAACUAAGCCUUAUAACAUAAAAUUGACAAAUAGAGAAGGCAUGCAAUCCAGUAGAAUAGAGUGCAAAAGAGGUAGAAGACUAAUCGUUUCAAGACAUGUUGAGCCACAACAGCAAUAACAUUGUGACAAAAAACGUCGGUGUAGACUGCAGAAGAUCUUCAAUGACGGAUCAAGCUGUAUAGACUUUUUUUUACCCUCAUAUACUGAAUAGUCAUUUAAGGUAUACAGUGCCAACGUAAGAGAGAAAGGUAAACUUUUUUUAACACAAGUUGUAGGCCUUGGAAAGAAGUUUUCCAGUAACAAGAUAACACGAUAAUGUACUGUGGUUAUAAGCUCAAAGUGGUAUAUUUGAUUCAGUGUUCCCAGAACCACCAAAACCUUGGAACCAUUGUUUAGCUAAAGCUACUAGAACAACAGAAUAACCUACUCUGUGGCAUUGUAAAGUAAAAUUAUACUACACACAAAUACUUGACAUAAAAUACAUUUCCAAACUCAAUUAUUAGGGAUAACAUAAGCACAAAAUGAUGCUUUGCAAACAUCAUGUAUCCUAUAACUGGAGAAAAAAAAUUAAUGACAUGAAGUGAAAUGACUGAGUUCUGAAGCUACAUCUCAAUUUAAAUAGCAUAAGCAAUUUAGUAUACAACAUUCUUCAAAAUCAAUUGUUGAAGGUUAACUAUAAUCUACAUACAAAAACAACUUUGUCAACUUUUUGUACGGAUUUUCCUUCUAAACAUAUUUACUUUAUGUGUAAAAUCAAAAAAUUUCCUGAGUUAAAGGCUAAGACUUGACUUUAUGAAUACAUGCCCAAAAAUUGGUGGUGGCUGGUUUCUGUUUUUAUUUUGUAAGCUUAGUAUAAUGGUUGUCCAGAACUUGUAAGCAAUGACCUCAUUUCUAAGCGGACAAGAUGCAAAAGACCAUUUUUACAGAUUAACCAUCUGGUUCCUUUAGGAAGAGUAAUAUUUCAACAGGUUCCUGUAUUUCAAGAAUAUAAAUAAUUAAAAAGAUGAAGAUAUGUGAAAUACACAAAGAAAAAAAUAGAGAAAAUAGCAUUUAAAGCAAAUUAUCCUAGCUCCCUCAAUUAAUAUUUUAAAACCAUGACAAUCAGUUAUUAAUAUAAAUUGUUAAUUUUAUUUAAUACAACAUCAAUAUAAUUCAUACCAUCUUCUUCAACUAGGUGGUCUAUCAUUUUGGAGUUUCUUUCCACCUCUGGAGAAUUGCUCAGGAAAUCUGGCUAACAUACCAAAUAAAUCAAAUGGAUUUAA
rnacentral:lncRNA from 10 species